rnacentral:rRNA from 1 species
AACGAACGCUGGCGGCAGGCUUAACACAUGCAAGUCGAGCGCCCCGCAAGGGGAGCGGCAGACGGGUGAGUAACGCGUGGGAACGUACCCUUUGCUACGGAAUAGCUCCGGGAAACUGGAAUUAAUACCGUAUGUGCCCUACGGGGGAAAGAUUUAUCGGCAAAGGAUCGGCCCGCGUUGGAUUAGCUAGUUGGUGGGGUAAUGGCCUACCAAGGCGACGAUCCAUAGCUGGUCUGAGAGGAUGAUCAGCCACAUUGGGACUGAGACACGGCCCAAACUCCUACGGGAGGCAGCAGUGCGGGAUAUUGGACAAUGGGCGCAAGCCUGAUCCAGCCAUGCCGCGUGAGUGAUGAAGGCCUUAGGGUUGUAAAGCUCUUUCACCGGAGAAGAUAAUGACGGUAUCCGGAGAAGAAGCCCCGGCUAACUUCGUGCCAGCCGCCGCAGUAAGAC